rnacentral:lncRNA from 1 species
CAGUGUCAUUACACAGGCACAGCUACUAAUCUUUUGGCAAGGUGGAGAGAGUGGGCUGCCGCGACUCCACCACGCAGUCAGAUCUUUCUUGGAUUACCAGCGGAUACCGCAGCAGCACCUAGUGGUGGCUAUAUAUCACCGAGUGCAUUAAUCUCUGAAGUUCUUCCAAGUAUCAAGACUACAACAAGCUAUGGCGGUGUCAUGCUUUGGAAUAAGUUUUAUGAUACGAGUUUUAGUUCAGCUAUCAAGAACAGUAUAUAAUAUGUAACUGGAAACAAAUAUGAUGUGAUACCAGAUAUCAGAACCCGCUUCUUAUCGAUAAAUCUACAUAAACACCUGCUUCUAAGUUUCGAAUAAAGAGAUUUUCCUCAGAGAAACACCAUCAGAGUCGAUACUAAAUUACUUGUAAAUAUUAGUAAGAAAAAAUACAAGUGUUAAUUGCGCUUAACAUUGGGCGGAAAGAAAUUAAAGAAGAAGAAACACAAUCCCAACGACAGGAAAAAAAAAAUGAACUUUUGAUAUUAUAUCAGUAAUCAAAAAGUUCUUGUUAAUUUACUGACUGGUAACUAAGGAUUACAAACAAAACUAAAAAAUAGAGCUGACAAGAUUCAAGAGAGCUCGCAUGUAUGGCACGCGAAAGGCUUCAUAGUACAAGCAGAAUUACACUCAAUGUGACAAACUAGAAAAGGAUGUAAUCAGCCAACCAUAUUUGAGGGAAGCGCACUUUUUUCACACUGUAAAAAUAUUUGCCCUUUUACACCUUCCUGAUCUGGAUAUUGCGGGCGGACUGUAAUCGUUAGAUGGGCUGUUUACCACUCUGCACAAGAGCCACUUGUUCUCCCUCCUUUACCAUCCCUUGCUCCUGUAAAUGAGUCAGGCAGAUUUAAUACGACUCCCAUUGAUGUUGAUAUUCAAAUUUACUGGCAAAACAGCAUGCACAGUUGGAAACUUGGCUUGCAGCCAUGUUUUGAAUAUUGAAUGAGGAAACAAUCCCUACUGAGUAGCAACAAUACAUUACUACUUAAUUCAUCAGAAGAACACAUUUACAAACUCCUAACAGCAGAGUUUCUGAUUUCUUAGAUUCAAAUACUGUAAUUAAAGAGAUCUGUAUAGUAUUACUACUAUAAUUCACCUUCAAGAGAGUUGAUGCAUCUGCAAAGGUUUUUUUUGCAUCAUCUGAGAACAGCAUGUAUAUUAAGGGUAACUCCUUGAUAUAAAGCUAAACGCUCUUUCUUUUUUUAAUAAACCUGUAUGUCAAACCAAUUUUGAACAUAUGUUAACUACUUCACUAUAGAAUAGGGGAUCCAUAAUGAUUAGAAGGUUCAAACAUGUUCUUGAAUAAAAUUCAGCAAUUAUCUUGUAAACUUUGGGGGAUGGAUAUGUACUCUUAUCCUAUAUGUUUGACUACCAUAAUCAUAUAUUUAUAAACCAAUUUUUUACAUAGGUUAACUACUUCACUAUUUAAUAGUGGAUCCAUAAACAUAUAGGAUUUUGGGGGCUUAUACUAUAGGAUAAUGUGCUAGUGACCCCUGAUAGUGACCAACUUUAAACUCAGAGUGCCAAUUUUACUUUAUUCAUAAUGGAAUUUAAAUACAUAAUUGUUAAAACAAUGGAGGAAGAAGAAUAAGAUACCAGCACAUCAACUCAUAGAAAGUAGAAUAUUCCCCGAUGCCUAGUUGCAAACCCAUAAUGCUUAUUACUGAUCAAAUUGCCCUAGGAAACACGACAAGGCUAUGCUGAAAGAAUAAUACAACAGCGCUUGCAUAGAAGAUAAAUAAAGCAGUAACAAUUUCCUAGGUAACAGGGGCUAUUAAAAGCACCUCCAUUUCUGGAAAGGGGAAAAACUCCAUCUAUACAUAAAGCAGAAAUACAUACUAUUGCAAACCAAAAACAAGACAAUAAUUGGAAUGUGAAUAAAACCCUUGCAAAAGAAUGGGGCAAGCAUUAAUUCAAACUUCAGAUAUUUGAGGUAAUUGUAGAUUGCCUGAAGUGUUUCAAACAUAAUCCUUCUUGCAUAACAUCAACAAUUUAGUCUUGUUACUUAUUUUAUGAAGAAAAAGAAACCAAACAACUUUCAUCUGAAUAAAUCAUUUGUUAUUUUAAAAAAUUGACACUAGAACCUGCGUGAUAUACAGGAAAAAGAAUAUAGCACUGUAGCCAUUUGAAAUUCAAGAAUUCAUAUAAUCAUGUUAUAACUCACUGGCUUUAAGCCUUUAUUGGAAGUUGGAAGAUAACAUUAUCAGGUUGAAAAAGUAGUGUUCAGAAAAAACACAGCUCCUGGUAGGGCUGUAAAUUGAUACGGACUAUCCGGUGUCUCGGCUCAUAUCCGGCUCGAAAAUAUGAUACAUGUCUCAUAUCCGUUUUGAAAACGAUCCAAACCUGGCGGAAAAAUUAAGCCCGUAUAAUAUAUGAUCCCGGAUACGAGCACACCUAUACCCGCUCAGAUUCGGUCUCAUAUAAUUUUUCAUAAUAUGAUCCUACCCGAAUAACCAAAUAUGAUCCACGGUUCAUAUUCGAUUCAAACUCAUAUAUAUAUAUAUAUAUUAUAUUUUAACAUCAUCAUAUUUGCAAGUAAAUAGUCAUCAUUUUAUAAAAUUUUAAUAUCUUAUUUAAGUUUAUACCUUCAUAAAAUAUGAUUUAUUUAAUGUGAUCAUGCUUAUUAUCUUCAUAUAUAUUUAAUAAAUGAUAUAUACCAACAUAUAACUAUAAGUUUUAAUUUAAAAUUAUUAUUCUUUAUAAUAUUAUGUUUACUUAGACUAAAUGAUAAUUAUUUGAACAAUUGAAAUAAUAAUGAUAUUUAGUGUUAGUGGAUCAUAUCCGGCUCAUAUUCGAUGGAUCAUAAACUACCCGGUUAAAAAAUAGAAAAUACGAUACUGGAUCAUAUCCGGUUCAGAUCCGAAUCUCAAAUACCCGGGAUCGGAUUAUAUCCGAAUAAAACGAUCCCGGACCCAAAUCUGGACAAGCUAAAAAUAAUAUGAUCCGGUACUUGAGCAGAGGGGUACCCGGGAUCACCCGGAUCAUUUUACAGCCCUAGUUCCUGGGGCUUAAAAUCAUCCAUAAAUUACAAGAACCCAAUUUAUUUUCUACAAUUUUAGCCAUCACAAUUUUCCUCAAAACAAAAAAGCUCUACUCUAUUCGUACCAAACAUAUUGCAUUUAGAUAUAGAACAUAAAACAUAAGCACCGGAAGAGACCGGAAACAUCUUUUUUACUACCGAACAACAUUAAAAGUCAAGUAAAAUUCUUAAUAUCUAUGUCCGACUCGGAGACUUCGCACGGACAUUCAAUUCAAUUAAAAGACAGAAACAACAAUGAAGUCUUUUAAAAGGACAAAUCUGUUUUUUAAAUUACUAGUAUAAUACUUAUAAGGAUAAGAAAUAGGAGACCAUCAUCAAUUCAUAGACAACAAGGAGACAAGGUUAAUUUCACCUCUCAUCAUACCAUAUGUAAUUAUUUGAGAAAUAUGACACCUAGACAAAGCACCUUUUUAUUCAGGUAAAGUUGACACUAGUCCAUUUGGGUACAUCAGGACAGUAGCUGAUAAUAUGUACACACAGCAUUUGGUAGGCAGGAUAAUAUAAACCAUGUAAUUUCCAAUAUCUACAAUGCACAAACAAACAGAAAACAAAAGCAACAUCAAUUAUCAAUAUACCUAUCAGACAAUCCAAACCUAAAAUCCACGAAAAUCAACAUCACACAUAUGAUUCUGGCUUCAAUCAAUAGUCGACCUCACAAAGUAAUUCCACAUUUAUGUACUAAACUAUAUGGCAUAUCACAAAUAUAAACCUAAAAAAACUAAAUAACACACACAAUAAACAUUCAACAAAAACAAGAAAUAUACCUAACAAUCCUCCUCCUCCUCAUCAUCAAGUAACAACUCUGCAUUGCCUAGCAUCACCAACCAUCGAUCCCCGUCCACUACUCAACGUCAAUCCCACGGGCACAUCCCGACACAAAACCCUAACAUACCGCUUCCUCGUCCCCCACGCUCCAGCCUUAAACCUAGCUCUAGCCAACAACCUAACACUAAACCUAACACUCCCUCUCCCUCUAUCACCACCAAUAUCCCUAACAACCCAAUCAUCAACAUACGCUCCCACAGCACCAAAAGUGGCCUUCACCUUGGUCUCAUUCCUCUUCCCUUGACUAAACGGAGGCAACGUAGUCGAUGCCAGCCCCUCCGACUUAUAAAACACAUCGGCAUCAAUUCGAUCAUAAUUCACCGUGAUCUUCUUGUUCGGAUUCCUCACAGUAAACUCAACUUCCCAGUUGCCGGAAACCAGAGAGCUGGAGAUAUUAAAGUUAGAAACAGUCACCGAGUCGACUCGAAACUCAGGGACUCGAGGCCUAAGUACUAGCCAAAUUAUCAACAAAACGGUGCCGGAAAUGAUGAUACAGGCGAUUAUGAUUGAGAAGAGGCGGCGGAUGAAAGCGCGUUGAGGAUCGGGUUGGUUGUAGUAGGGGUUGUGAGUGUAGUAGGCGGCGUUGGACGGUGGCGGGGCGGCGUAGGGGUAGGCGGUACCGGAGGAAUAGCCGUUAGGGUUAGGGUUAGGGUUAGGGUGGGCGGGGUAGCCGGUAACGGGUCGGGUCGGAUUGGUGGGGUUCAUUUGGGGAGAAUAUAGAGGAGUGUUUUGUGUGUAGAGGUUGUAUGUAUAGGAGUAGAUGUGAAGGAAAGUGUGGGAGAAGUGUGUGGAAGAUGAAGGAGUUUCUAUGAGUUAAAGUGAAACGGGGUUGGAGGGAGAUUGAUUUGUCUUUGGGGUAAAUUAGUCGAUUUAGGUAAAAGGCGGUGCAACGUUUAGCUCAUAUUUUCGUAUAAGAUUUUUAUUAUAAUUUUUUGGUUCAUAUUUUUAUUUUUUUAUGAUUUAUUUUUUGUAUAUCAAAUAAAAUUUGGUUAAUGGAUAUUUGACCUGUCAAGUCAAAGUAAAGUUUAUCGCUACAUUACAUAUGUGUUUUUCAUUCGAGGAUAAAAUGAUUUUCAAGUGAUUGUCUAAAUUUUUUUAAUUUGUGAUUAUAAUAAUGUUUAAGUAAGAGCAUGUUAGUACGGAUUUUAAGUAAUUUUCGAUUUCAAACUGAAAAAUGUAUGUUUUUGUAUUAAGUCAAAAGUCGAUUUAAAAUUAUAAAUAAAUCAAAAAUUGAUUCAAAGUCUGAAGCUAAUUUGAUAUUAUUUUAUCGAUGAUUUUUUUCUUUUCCAUAUUUUUAUACAAAAAUUAAAAUCAAAAAAUGAUGUCUUUAUAGUAUCGUCAAUUUUACGCCAAAAAUAUUCUUGGUUGUUUAAGGCCAGUUUCUACUAAAAUCUAAUAUGCUCUUGGUUCUUUGAGGCCAGCUUCUACUAAAACCUUGAUAACGAAUUCAAACUCUACGACUCUGGGAAAAAUUUCGUCAUGACGACAUAAUAAUACCUAUGCACAAGUAAGUUUGAGGAUUUGAACAUGGGUGAUGUAUUCAAACUUGCAAGUUCUUAUUCAAAUAUAAAUUUCCACCAUUUCUCAACAGGUUAGCCGCAUUGUCUUUCACACGAAAAAGACAUAUAUAUAUACUUUUAUCGCAUAAUAUUUGUCAAUAAAUUAUCACUCAGAUGCAUCAUUGAUAUUAUUGGAGUUCUUGAAAAUUACGGCCAUCUUCAACAAAUCAAAAUAAUGUAUGGACAAAGAAGUAUCGUGAAAUUCAGGAUCACAAAUGAAUGACAAAUAUAUUUUGAUAUAAUACAAACAUCCUUUUUGACUACUUAAACUACAUUUGAGUUUGAAUUAUCUCACGUGGCUGUAGUUAUGCAGGUAUCAUGAUUGCUAAAUACAGUAAUAUUUUAUAGUAAUCACAUAUUACCAUAAUAUCUUUCAUUUAUUUUUUUUGUUAAAUACAGUAAUAUUUUAUAGUAAUCACAUAUUACCAUAAUAUCUUUCAUUUAUUUUUUUUGUUUUCUGUGUACGCAUCAGUGCAGUCAUUAAUUUUUCAUGAUGGCUAAAUGCAGUAAUAUUUUACUCCGUGCAGUAACUAGAAAUUACCAUAAUAUCCUUCAUUUAUUCUUUUGUUUCAUGCGGGUUGAUCUCGCAAAUAAAGCACAAAAUGAAGGCUCUUUGGCGUCCACUUGCGCAUCAUUGCUUUCUUAAUAACCUCUGAGAGUGGCCGAACUCCGGCCCUAAAGAUAGCUGGCAAUUGUGAUGCUGCCUCUAACGGCUGCACCUUCUAGAGCUCCCAGAUUUCUACUUGCCAGAGCAAUGUCAUCAAAGUCCUCUCUCUUCUGGUGGCGGGUAGGGUCGGAAACAAGCAUGUCUUCUCCUGCUGAUGCUAAGCAAGUAGCUAACUAUCUCUACAACAACUUCUUAGAUGGACAAUCAGCUUCUCGACCUUUCGGGUCUGUCAUUUUAGAUGGCGUAGACUUUGACAUGUCCGAUUUCGAGAGAAAAGGCAUUCGUCUUUACUAUGAUGAUCUAGCACGGGACCUCUCGGGUUUCAGCACACAACAGAGAAAAGUCUACUUGUCAGCAGCACCACAAUGUCCUAUCCCUGACGCUAAACUAGACGCUGCAAUUCAAACUGGCCUUUUCGACUACGUCUGGAUACAAUUUUACAACAACCCACAGUGUCAUUACACAGGCACAGCUACUAAUCUUUUGGCAAGGUGGAGACAGUGGGCUGCCGCGACUCCAUCACGCAGUCAGAUCUUUCUUGGAUUACCAGCGGCGCGACUCCAUCACGCAGUCGGAUCUUUCUUGGAUUACCAGCGGUGCGACUCCAUCACGCAGUCAGAUCUUUCUUGGAUUACUAGCGACUACUGCAGCAGCACCUAGUGGUGGCUAUAUUUCACCGAGUGCAUUAACCUCUGAAGUUCUUCCAAGUAUCAAGACUACGCCAAGUUAUGGCGGUGUCAUGCUUUGGAAUAAGUUUUAUGAUACUGAGUUUUAGUUCAGC